ACUUGGUUGACUGAAGGAUGAAGAGGAGAUUGAAGAAAAGAAGUCCAUAGCUCUGAAAGCUGAAAGAAAGAACAUCAUAGAAACAGAGAUGGACGACAAAGAAUUGAUGACCUUGAUGGUUAGAAAAUUUAGUCGACUUAUACAAAAUGAUCGUCAAUUGUCUAAUCAUGCAGGUCAAAGCAAAAUGAAGAGCUUCAACACGAAUGUUGUCCAAUGCUAUGAAUGUGGAAAAGAAGGCCACAUCAAGCCUGAAUGCCCUGAAU
rnacentral:lncRNA from 1 species